AUGGUUUCCGGGUUUGCUUCGAAUCUGUUUAUAGAGAAAUUGUCAUCGGCUGAAAUUUUAUUAUCCGACGUAUUCUUGGUUUUAUUGACCACUCCCACAUCUAGGGCUUCAACCAGUAGGUAAUUAUUAGCCACGAGUUAGGAUUUUCUGAUCGAAGGAUUUCUCGGCUGAUUACAGUUUCGUCCAUAUUUUAUCGCUGUGUAAAUCUUGUCUUCCGUUGUGGUUACCAUUAAAUCUGGAGGUUUGAAGUUUAUUCUCUAUGUCAAAUAAUGAAGGAUGCUGGAGUUGAUAUGUGGUUUUGGUGAUUUAAUUAAGAUUGUGUGUGUAUCUCUGUUCAAGAUAUGUUCAAAUCCAUUCAAGUGAGUGUUGAUCCAAGUCUGAAGGGUUUCUGGGUGGAAAAGGUUUAAAAAGAUCUUGACUUUCUGCAAGAUUUUAUGGUACCAACAAAACCCUAGUAUUGGGUACACGAUCAUAUCAGUCUAUGGCGACUUAAUCGAAGUAGUCUGCUUAUGAAUUCACUAUUAAGGAUGCAAAGAACCAAGAAGUGGGCCAUAGCAAAAGUACAAGGAUCGAGGGGUUGAGAUUCUUGCAUUUUCGUCUUUGCCAAGGUUGACGUAAAUGGCAAAAACGUUGAACCGGUGUACGAUUUCUUAAGGUUAGGUGGGCCAGUAUUGAUCACGGGGAGAGCCACACCCUGUUUUUAUGUGCUGCAUUUCUGUGUUGCGUUCUAUCUGAUUUGGAUCUUGUUGUUAAGUAUUUGAUUAUAUCAGUUUUGUUGUGAGCGCUUGAUUUGUGCAUAGAAUUAGGGUUGUGGUUCCUAUGUUAAGACCUGUCCUGGCACCUUUGAGUGAUGAACCAGGAGUCUCUACACUGACACUGCUUCACCACUUGUGUGCUUGGGAGAGUUGUUCUUCAUUUUAUUGUUCUGCAUGUUUGUUGAUAGUGUAUUUGUAUUUCUUUGUUGGUAUUUUUGCUUGUGUGUAGUUUAUAUAUGUUGGUUCUGAUUGGUAGUCC
rnacentral:lncRNA from 1 species